GGAGACUAGUGGUCUAUCAUUACAUCUGUCUGAUCAGUGAUCAAUGUUAUCAUAUAUUUACUUGAUUAACCUCUAUAUGAAUUACACCAAAUUGUACUGCAAUAGUAUCCUAUCCUCAUUAAGAUUCUUCAUCUUGUAACAAAGGGUGAAAGUCAACAAGAGUCUUAAGUUGCUGGAUGAGGAUACGUUUUCAAAAUUUUUAUUAGGAUGUCCGUCCUUGGAUUAUUGCACAUUAUUAGUAGACUCUGCUAUUAUUUCUGAUCCCAAUACUUAAGUUUGAGAAAGCCACUACCUUUUCGCCACCAGUCCUCCCUUGUUUCC
rnacentral:misc_RNA from 1 species